CACUUUUCAUUAAUAAAGUCUUUUUACAUUGCUUUGAUCUUAUUUUGCGAAAUUACUUUUCCUGCAUAUUUACCUGCAUUUCUAUUUACUCUUACUUUCCAAAACCACAAGUAUCUUGUCUUUGGUCGGACGUGUGUUCUUCCUGGAUAUCUAUUAUUACAUCAAACCAGUAUAAAAGUUAGCAUAUGUUCAGGGAUCAAUCUGAUCGAUCAUGCGAGUAACAAAAAAGACUUCCUUUUUUGGAGGAUCAGCGGUUGUUUACCAAAAACCACGGUAAACACAUAUAUGCCAAAAACAAAAGAAAAACUGAAUGAACAAAUGUAG